AAGUCAAUAUACAUACAUACAUAUAUACAUAUAUAUACAUACACACACACACACACACACACACACACAUAUAUAUAUACAUAUAUAUAUAAAAAUUGGGCCAGGGAGUAAGAUCCCAAUCUCAGAAAAAAAAUAUUGUAAACAACUGAUAGACUGUAUGUGGAGGAAGACAAGAAGCAUGAGUCACUUUGGUCUUAAGAGUAUUGGUGAGGUAAGGGUCAGCCAAUGAAAAGUUGGAGAAGAAUUUUUGAUAAUACUGGAAUAUAGAAUUGGAAAGGACCUUACAGGUCAUUGUUGGCAUACUUCCUGCUUGUCUCAACAAAGCAGAAACCAGAGGAAGAAGUCUGAAGGGUAGAAACUUGAAUCUCCAGGACACUUGGCACAAGACCUGCGAUGUGCUUAUGUAAAGUGAACAUUGGGUGUAGGGAUGAGCUGGGUACUGGAAUUGUUUAGAUUCUUGUGUGUAUCUAUUUGACCUCAUGCUGUUAUAACUGGGUAAGAACUGGACAUUCCUCCAGCAUUAGGGACAAGUGCUGACAGAGGUUCUGUGCAGACAGAAUACAUGGUUUAAAAAAGCUUGAAAGCAAAGCAUGACAAAUAUGUUAUUUUGAAAUGUUAUUUUAAAAUCAGUUUACUUUUUUUUUUUUGCAGUUUGGGUUAGGGAGUAAGCAGGUGAUUUUGAGAAUGAAAAAGAACAAAAACAACAUUGUAAAGAAGAUAUAGAUUGUUUUGUUGUGUCAGUAUACAUUUGGAGAAAGAAGAGGAAAAAGCUUGAGUGGCUUGGGUGCUUCAGAGCUAGUUUGGCGAGCUGAGGGUCAGUGAAAUGUUGAAUCACAGCUUACAUUGUUCACAUUUUAAAGAUCCAAUAAAAAACAAGUUAAAAAUUAUGAUUAACAAAUAUAUUUGGAGGCUUUCUUUUCUGAACUUUCAGAGUUCUAAAAUCUAAAACAAUAACUAUCCAAGCAUGGUUUUGUUCUUCAGAGAACUUUUGGAAGUGUCUGGAGAUGAUUUUGAUUGUUAAGAUAACAUCUAAUGAAGGAUGUUAAUAACUGCUAUAUAAUACAUAGACCUCUCCAUCCCCCCAAAAGAAAAGACUGUCUGUAUCAAAGUGCCAGUAGUACUGUUUAGACUCAUGAUCUGUAUGAUUCUGGUAAGGACUUGAUCUAUUCUUAGAGUCCCACUGAAUAUUAUUUGGUGGAAUAGAGAAAUACUUAAUUCAUCUAACAGUUCUCUUUAUUGGGGGAAGCAGUUGAGGGCAAAGCGAAAGUAAAGAAAUUGGUAUAAUGUAGAUAUGUGUUGGUCUGUUUAGUUUACAAAUCUGAACAAAAACACCCUUUUAGAAGCUAGAGAGAUGGCUUAGUGAUUUAAGAGCCUCCCUGGCUGCUGUUGCAGAGGAUCUGAAUUCAGUUCCCAACACACACAACUGUCUGUAAUUCCAGUUCCAGGGGAUUGAUCCCCGCUUCUCACCUUCUUGGACACCAGACAAAUGUGGUACACAGAUUUAUAUGCUGUUAAAACACUCAUAUACAUAAAAUAAAAUAUAUUCAUAAAAGAAAAAUAUCCCUUCCCCUUAAAAUGUCAGCCUUAUAUUAAUGUACAUUUUACUGUAUUUUGAAUUGCUGAUUAUUACUGCAUAGGUUUUUAAAAUUAGAAAUAAACAUAUAGUACUAUCUUUUUUAGCAUUUUUUACCUUCAUACAUCCCCUACCCCUACCUCCUGUUAACUUAUCGAGAAAGAAGCUAAAUGUUUGAAUGGCUUAUGUAUGCAAGUAUGUAUGUAGUAAAAGUCCAGGAUUUUCAUAUUUAUAUACAACUCGCAUUUCUGCUUCUAUUGGUCUCACUUUUGACUCUGAUGUUUUUAAAUUAAUUUUUAAAUACUUUGGUGCUGCUGUGAUCCAUCUCUCCUUCCCAAGUGCUAGGGUUGUAGACCUGUGCCACUGGGUUUGGCUUUUAGGUGAUGUUUUUGGUGAUGAAAAGUGGUAGGAUCACCUUUGUUACUUACUGUCCAUGUGACUUUAGAGAAAUUAUGAAAUGUUCCUGGGGUUCAAUUUUCUCAUCUAACAAAUAGUGAGUGUGUUUGGUGAUUACUGUAUUAUGAACUUAUUGCCAAUGUAAGUGAGUUUAUGGGUUGUAAGAUACUGUGUCUGGUGAGCCAAAUAGUUCAGUGGGGAGAGCAUUAGCCUGAAGAUGCUUUGUUGACUUUAACAUUCUCUGUAAGAGUUGUUUCAGAAGAACAAAUUAGAAAGGAAUAUGUAGAACUUAUCAAAAGCAAUGUAGAGGUAGCAAGGUAAAAUGAAUAAUGACUGACAGCUCUUAGGGAGAAAAAAAACACUAAUUGUCUCUGUCCCUGCCGUCUUUCUCCCUCCCUCAAAAGAACCACUUAAUACAUCAAUAAUUGAAGUUCCUUGCUCCAGAGACCGACUUCAGUAGCACCUGAGGUUGGCUUAUUGUAAGAUUUCUAUCAGGCUUUUUUUCCUGGUCUUUUUUCCCCUGUAUUGUAGUCAUUGAUUUUUCAAAAGGGUAAAUCUGAUCAUUUAAUUUGUGUGCUUAAAUUAUUUCUAGCUUUAUAAUUAAGAUGAAAUAUUAUUUCUCAUUUCUUUAAGAUAAGUGAGUUCCUUUCCUAACAUCUUUUUAGCCUUAGAGACUCCACAAUUCUCCCCCAUUCCUAAAUAUGUAAUUGUCUAAGGCAUGUUGAAUUCUUUGUGGUACCUGACAAUAGAUUCUUUUUCUUCCAAAUCUUUUCACAUACCUCACCUUUUCUAGAUCUCCAUUACUGUUUUCCCCAACUGGUCUGACUCAUUCUUUAGUUCUUGGUAAGCUGUCUACAUAGUUAUUAAUAUGUAUGGAUGCUUUGUCUAUUUGUACUGUGCAUGUGUCUGAUACCCUUAGAGACUAGAAGAAGGUGUUGGAUUCCCUGGGACUAGAGCUAUAGAUGGUUGUGAGUGGUUGCUGAGAAUUGAACAUGGGUCCUCUUGCAAGAAUAGCCAGGGCUCUUGACCAAUGAGCCAUCUUUUCAGCCUCCUGGCAUUGAUGUUUUAUUAUUUAAGAUUUUUAAGCCAUAGGUCAGUUGAAAGAAUAGUAGAGUGAGCACCACACUACCCCCAAUUUUUUUUUUUUUUUUUGACAAACUGGUGUGGAUAUUUCCCCCAUUUUCAAACAUGCGUCUCCCAAUUAUAAGACUAUUCUGCAGGAUUAUAGUUAUGGUAUCUAAGAAUGUCAGUAUUUACGUGGUAGCAUCAUUUGCCAUAGAGUUAACGCUUAAACAUUCUCAGUUGUCUACUGUGUUCUCACUUAAUCUGCCCCACUCUAUCACCAUGAGUUGAAUGGUCAAAAGUAGCUUAAAAAAGGAGUCCUUAGGCUGGACACAGGGCUUCUACUCUGUAGUGACAAUUUUGACAUUUUGGUUUCUUUAGAAAACACAGAAAUAUUACAAGAAUAUGUCUUUAUUUUAAUCCCAGGUAUGGGAUAUGGACCUGCUUCAGAUUGUCCUCAGCAGCUGGCUAUGAUUUGCCUCAUGCCCUAGCAGGGGCGUAAUUUUUCCAGUGGCAGACAGUGUCUACAGUCGUGUGACAUUUGGAAUUCUGUUGACUUAUCAGAGAAUAUAUAAUGCUAGGGCCCCAAGAGGCAGACUGGGUUGUUGGUUGGUUGCUGUUGGUUUCUGUUUAAGUAGUCCUGCAUAAAGAUGAAACAAGAAGAAAUUAGAUGUCUGACAGUGAAACUCAAACUUGCCUCUAAUGAACAGGAAGUUGUUUAAUGAUAAUGUUGCCCCCUUUCCUCUCUAUCCUUUUUUCCUCUCCUGUUUAGAGUUAGAGGUUUGAAAGGAUAGAAGAAGGGGGAUGGAAAAGGGUGGAAGAAAAAGAGCCCACAAAGUAGCUGAAAGUCCAGGUAUAUAUAAUAUACAUAUAAAAAUUAAUGUACCUAAUUGCCAAUUAUACACAACUCCUACCUUUUGGACCUAAAAUAUAGUUGUCUGUUCUUUUUAAGAUUAACCCACUGUCUGACUGUUCACCAAUUCUAGUAUUUCCCAUCUCUUGGCAAAGCCAAUCCUCCCACUCCC
rnacentral:lncRNA from 1 species